rnacentral:rRNA from 1 species
UACGGAGGGGGCUAGCGUUGCUCGGAAUCACUGGGCGUAAAGCGCACGUAGGCGGCUUUCUAAGUCAGGGGUGAAAUCCUGGAGCUCAACUCCAGAACUGCCUUUGAUACUGAGAAGCUUGAGUCCGGGAGAGGUGAGUGGAACUGCGAGUGUAGAGGUGAAAUUCGUAGAUAUUCGCAAGAACACCAGUGGCGAAGGCGGCUCACUGGCCCGGUACUGACGCUGAGGUGCGAAAGCGUGGGGAGCAAACAGG